rnacentral:rRNA from 1 species
UACGGGGGGGGCAAGCGUUGUUCGGAAUUACUGGGCGUAAAGGGCGCGUAGGCGGCCGCCGAAGUCAGACGGGAAAUCCCUCGGCUCAACCGGGGAACUGCGUCUGAUACUGGGUGGCUUGAAUCCGGGAGAGGGAUGCGGAAUUCCAGGUGUAGCGGUGAAAUGCGUAGAUAUCUGGAGGAACACCGGUGGCGAAGGCGGCAUCCUGGACCGGCAUUGACGCUGAGGCGCGAAAGCGUGGGGAGCGAACAGG